rnacentral:lncRNA from 1 species
CCACCGUUUAUAUCAAUUGAAUCAUUCUUCACCAUCACUUGUCUCUUUCGAUUCAUUCCAAAACCACCACCUCUAUCUCAGUCUUAGUUACAGUUCAUCGUAUCGCCGCUGCCGUCGACGGGUUACAGCUUUUUCGAUACUCAAUUCUUCAUCUCAGUGUCCUCGCCAAGAAAAUGGUAUAAAUUGUGGGUACUUUGUGAUGAGGUUUAUGAAAAAGAUUCUCAUUUCAAAACUAAAUGAGAUUCCAAAGCUGUACAUUGAUGGUUUCAAGUGUGUGACAUACUCAAAAGAUUAACUAAUAGAAAUCCAAGAAGAAUGGUGUCGGUUCAUGAUCAACCUAAAAGUUAUAUGAUUUUUUUAUAAUAAAGUGGAGGAGAGUGAACGAAAUUUGGAAAUGAAUGAUGAUUUGCCUGCUUGUUUUGGAUAAAAAUGUUGUGACGACCAAGAAGAUAGAUGAAGACUGCAUGCUACCAUAGAAGAUUUUGAUCCUUAUGUUAACUAAUUAGUUGUAACUUAUAUUAAUGGCUAUACAUUAUGACUUUUAUUCUGUAUAUACAUACAUUUUUUAUGAUAUGUUUAAGUUUUAUUU